GCAGAAUGAAGGUCGGCUUUUUGAGUCGAGUUAUCCCGGUUCGAUACAGAAUUUACUUGGGAGAUACUCUCUGUUGCUUAUGAGAGGAAGUCUACACAAACGAAUGCAUUCAUUAACUAUGAGUUUUGCUAAUUCUUCCAUUCUUAAAGAUCAUCUGUUGGGCGAUAUAGAUCGAUUGGUUAGGCUUAAUUUGGAUUCAUGGACCGGCAGGGUUUUCCUCAUGGACGAGGCUAAGAAGAUAACGUUUAAUCUAACAGUGAAGCAGUUGAUGAGUUUUGAUCCAUGUGAGUGGACAGAGAAUCUGAUGAAAGAGUAUAUGCUUGUUAUUGA
rnacentral:misc_RNA from 1 species